rnacentral:rRNA from 1 species
AUUGAACGCUGGCGGCAGGCCUAACACAUGCAAGUCGAGCGGAUGGAGGGAGCUUGCUCCUGGAUUCAGCGGCGGACGGGUGAGUAAUGCCUAGGAAUCUGCCUGGUAGUGGGGGAUAACGUCCGGAAACGGGCGCUAAUACCGCAUACGUCCUGAGGGAGAAAGUGGGGGAUCUUCGGACCUCACGCUAUCAGAUGAGCCUAGGUCGGAUUAGCUAGUUGGUGGGGUAAAGGCCUACCAAGGCGACGAUCCGCAACUGGUCUGAGAGGAUGAUCAGUCACACUGGAACUGAGACACGGUCCAGACUCCUACGGGAGGCAGCAGUGGGGAAUAUUGGACAAUGGGCGAAAGCCUGAUCCAGCCAUGCCGCGUGUGUGAAGAAGGUCUUCGGAUUGUAAAGCACUUUAAGUUGGGAGGAAGGGCAGUAAGUUAAUACCUUGCUGUUUUGACGUUACCAACAGAAUAAGCACCGGCUAACUUCGUG